rnacentral:rRNA from 1 species
CUCCAAUAGCGUAUAUUAAAGUUGUUGCAGUUAAAAAGCUCGUAGUUGAAUUUCGGGAUUAGUACGUUGGUCGUGCCUUAGGUACGUACUGGUGUUACUGGUUCCUACCUUCUGACGAACCAUCAUGUCAUUAAUUUGGUGUGGCGGGGAAUCAGGACUGUUACUUUGAAAAAAUUAGAGUGUUUAAAGCAGGCUCGCGCUUGAAUACAUUAGCAUGGAAUAAUGAAAUAGGACGUUGACCCUAUUUUGUUGGUUUCUAGGAUUGACGUAAUGAUUAAUAGGGAUAGUUGGGGGCAUUAGUAUUCAAUUGUCAGAGGUGAAAUUCUUGGAUUUAUUGAAGACUAACUACUGCGAAAGCAUUUGCCAAGGAUGUUUUCAUUAAUCAAGAACGAAAGUUAGGGGAUCGAAGACNAUCAGAUACCGUCNNANUCUUAACC